AGAGUAAGCGCAGGCGGUUGCGGGCUGUUGCAAGAGCUUUGUGCGCUUGACGACAGCCCGAGGAAAGUCCGGGCUUCCGAAAGACCAAACUUGCUGGGUAACGCCCAGUGCGAGCGAUCGUGAGGAUAGUGCCACAGAAACAUACCGCCGAUUGAAGGGCUGAAGGCUGUAGGUUGCUUCUGCGGAGCAGCAGGAUAAAAGCUAAAUCACGUUUUUAUCCUUCAUACCUUAGCCUUUAGACUUUCAAGGUAAGGGUGCAAAGGUGCGGUAAGAGCGCACCAGCAGCAUCGAGAGGUGCUGGCUCGGUAAACCCCGGUUGGAAGCAAGGCUGCGGAACACUGGUUGGUCUUUUCCCAGUUCCAUGCAGAGGUAGGAGCGAUCCUAUUUUUGCCCGUCCGCUUGAGGUACCUGGUAACAGGUAUCCCAGAUAGAUAACUGCCCUCCUGGGUGCUAUGCAUUUGGGAGAACAGAACCCGGCUUAUGUCUUGCUCUCCUU
rnacentral:RNase_P_RNA from 1 species